UGAACGCUGGCGGCGUGCUUAACACAUGCAAGUCGAACGGUGAAGCCAAGCUUGCUUGGUGGAUCAGUGGCGAACGGGUGAGUAACACGUGAGCAACCUGCCCUGGACUCUGGGAUAAGCGCUGGAAACGGCGUCUAAUACUGGAUAUGAGCUCUCAUCGCAUGGUGGGGGUUGGAAAGAUUUUUUGGUCUGGGAUGGGCUCGCGGCCUAUCAGCUUGUUGGUGAGGUAAUGGCUCACCAAGGCGUCGACGGGUAGCCGGCCUGAGAGGGUGACCGGCCACACUGGGACUGAGACACGGCCCAGACUCCUACGGGAGGCAGCAGUGGGGAAUAUUGCACAAUGGGCGAAAGCCUGAUGCAGCAACGCCGCGUGAGGGAUGACGGCCUUCGGGUUGUAAACCUCUUUUAGCAGGGAAGAAGCGAAAGUGACGGUACCUGCAGAAAAAGCGCCGGCUAACUACGUGCCAGCAGCCGCGGUAAUACGUAGGGCGCAAGCGUUAUCCGGAAUUAUUGGGCGUAAAGAGCUCGUAGGCGGUUUGUCGCGUCUGCUGUGAAAUCCCGAGGCUCAACCUCGGGCCUGCAGUGGGUACGGGCAGACUAGAGUGCGGUAGGGGAGAUUGGAAUUCCUGGUGUAGCGGUGGAAUGCGCAGAUAUCAGGAGGAACACCGAUGGCGAAGGCAGAUCUCUGGGCCGUAACUGACGCUGAGGAGCGAAAGGGUGGGGAGCAAACAGGCUUAGAUACCCUGGUAGUCCACCCCGUAAACGUUGGGAACUAGUUGUGGGGACCAUUCCACGGUUUCCGUGACGCAGCUAACGCAUUAAGUUCCCCGCCUGGGGAGUACGGCCGCAA
rnacentral:rRNA from 1 species